GCCGGAACCCCGCCCGCGCUGGCGCCGCGAUGCGGCUCUGGUACUGAUGAUGCCGCCGGGUUGGGUGUAAGAGCCGAUGCGGACCUUUCUGGCGUCGGCCCCGCCUCUCCGUGAGGUCACGGCGGUAAUUCCCUCUCUGGGACCGGACCACUUUACCCUGAGAGGGCUCACAGCGUCAGGGGCAAGACAGGUACUGAUCUUUCAAGGUCCCAAACACCUGCCUCUUUCUUAGGCAGAAAAGUGGUUUGCAAGAAGGAAGCUGAAAAGGAGCACAUCAUACCCAAUAUGCCGUUUUUCUCUUACUGGACUGAGCUAGAGAAGAGGAAAUUGGGUUAGGAAAAAAAAAAAAAAAAACGAAUACACGAAUGCCCUUUGAUCUUUGUUGCCAGUCACUCGAUGAGACUGUGGCAGGGGGUCAGCCUGACAGCCCUUCCGGCCCCUCCAAGUCCCUUCAAUGCCAAUGGUGAUUCUAACUCAGAGCUCCCCAUGGCUCCAGGCCCACAUCCCUCCCCAGGAAAGACAUCGGGAAGACUUCAGGAAGACAACAGACACAGAGAGGCGGGCCUCCGUUAGCCCACCCACUUUGCAGAAAAGGCCGUGCAGGCCCGUCAGCCACACCAGGACACGCCUGGUAGCUGGGCAGUGGUUCUCUGCCCCAUAGCUUUUCUUCAGAUCGCUAUUUCCAGGUUGUCUUUCCAGGCUGAACCCGGUAACUCUGUCAGAUAAGGCUGCCCCGAACGUGCCAGUUACCUGUUUAUCUCCUCUGGGAGAAUCCGGCUCCCCGCUGGGCUCAUAGCUCUGAAGCCAGCAGCUUCCACGGCCUCCUGACCCCGCCCGGCAAGGAUGCGACAAUGACCACCUGCCACUGAAGGGGCCGGUCAGCGUGAGCCCGGGCCCCGGGACGCUGGCCACCUCCGGGGAGCCCACAUGGACAGCAGGCUUGACACGGGGGGGUCUCGGCCUCAGCACAGACUGAGCCCCCGGCCUGGCAGUGGCCAGAAGGCCAGCCCCACCUGCGGUCCCGCUCACACAGGCCAGCGGGGUCUCAGCACGCUGCUACCGCUGCCGGGACACUAAAGGACUUGCCUAAGGGGGAGGUGCCCGGGGGGAGCCAGGGGUGGGGUCAGGUCACCAGGCC
ensembl:lncRNA